CUACGGGGGGCUCCAGGCGCGAAACCUUUACAAUGCACGCAAGUGCGAUAAGGGAACCCUAAGUGCUUUACCUUUGGUAAGGCUUUUCUUAAGAGUAAAAAUCUUGAGGAAUAAGUGGUGGGUAAGACUGGUGCCAGCCGCCGCGGUAAUACCAGCGCCACAAGUGGUGACCAUAGUUAUUGGGCCUAAAGCGUCCGUAGCUGGUUUAAUAAAUCCUUUGUGAAAUUGUCAGGCUUAACCUAACAGUAUGCAGAGGAGACUGUUAAACUUGGGACUGGGAGGAGUCAGAGGUAUUCCGGGGGGAGCGGUAAAAUGCUAUAAUCCUCGGAGGACCACCUGUGGCGAAGGCGUCUGACUAGAACAGAUCCGACAGUGAGGGACGAAAGCUAGGGGAGCAAUCCGGAUUAGAUACCCUAGUAGUC
rnacentral:rRNA from 1 species